rnacentral:rRNA from 1 species
GAUGAACGCUGGCGGCGUGCCUAAUACAUGCAAGUCGGGCGAACGGACGAGAAGCUUGCUUCUCUGAUGUUAGCGGCGGACGGGUGAGUAACACGUGGAUAACCUACCUAUAAGACUGGGAUAACUUCGGGAAACCGGAGCUAAUACCGGAUAAUAUUUUGAACCGCAUGGUUCAAAAGUGAAAGACGGUCUUGCUGUCACUUAUAGAUGGAUCCGCGCUGCAUUAGCUAGUUGGUAAGGUAACGGCUUACCAAGGCAACGAUGCAUAGCCGACCUGAGAGGGUGAUCGGCCACACUGGAACUGAGACACGGUCUAGACUCCUACGGGAGGCAGCAGUAGGGAAUCUUCCGCAAUGGGCGAAAGCCUGACGGAGCAACGCCGCGUGAGUGAUGAAGGUCUUCGGAUCGUAAAACUCUGUUAUUAGGGAAGAACAUAUGUGUAAGUAACUGUGCACAUCUUGACGGUACCUAAUCAGAAAGCCACGGCUAACUACGUG